GACGAACGCUGGCGGCGUGCCUAAUACAUGCAAGUCGAACGCACAGUUUAUACCGUAGCUUGCUACACCAUAGACUGUGAGUUGCGAACGGGUGAGUAACGCGUAGGUAACCUGCCUGGUAGCGGGGGAUAACUAUUGGAAACGAUAGCUAAUACCGCAUAAUAUUAAUUAUUGCAUGAUAAUUAAUUUAAAGGUGCAAUUGCACCACUACCAGAUGGACCUGCGUUGUAUUAGCUAGUAGGUGAGGUAACGGCUCACCUAGGCGACGAUACAUAGCCGACCGGAGAGGGUGAUCGGCCACACUGGGACUGAGACACGGCCCAGAAUCCUACGGGAGGCAGCAGUAGGGAAUCUUCGGCAAUGGACGAAAGUCUGACCGAGCAACGCCGCGUGAGUGAAGAAGGUUGUCGGAUCGUAAAGCUCUGUUGUAAGAGAAGAACGGGUGUGAGAGUGGAAAGUUCACACUGUGACGGUAGCUUAACAGAAAGGGACGGCUAACUACGUG
rnacentral:rRNA from 1 species